GUUUCUGAUUGAUAGGGAUACAACUACCUGAAAAAUACAUGGAGAACUUCGACAUUUCGAGCGGUGGUCCUUCGUCGGGAAGUCAGUGAAUGGCCUUCGCUCAAAACGUCGAAGUUCUCCUUGUAUUUUUCAGGUAGUUGUAUUCCUAUCAAUCUGAAGC